CAACUCGACUACAUGAAGCUGGAAUCGCUAGUAAUCGCGAAUCAGAAUGUCGCGGGUGAAUACGUUCCCGGGUCUUGUACACACCGCCCGUCACACCAUGGGAGUCAGUAACGCCCGAAGCCGGUGACCCAACCGACAAGGAGGGAGCCGUCGAAGGUGGGACCGAUAACUGGGGUGAAGUCGUAACAAGGUAGC
rnacentral:rRNA from 1 species